rnacentral:rRNA from 1 species
AUUGAACGCUGGCGGCAGGCCUAACACAUGCAAGUCGAGCGGAUGAAGAGAGCUUGCUCUCUGAUUUAGCGGCGGACGGGUGAGUAAUGCCUAGGAAUCUGCCUGGUAGUGGGGGAUAACGUCCGGAAACGGGCGCUAAUACCGCAUACGUCCUACGGGAGAAAGCAGGGGACCUUCGGGCCUUGCGCUAUCAGAUGAGCCUAGGUCGGAUUAGCGAGUUGGUGAGGUAAUGGCUCACCAAGGCUACGAUCCGUAACUGGUCAGAGAGGAUGAUCAGUCACACUGGAACUGAGACACGGUCCAGACUCCUACGGGAGGCAGCAGUGGGGAAUAUUGGACAAUGGGCGAAAGCCUGAUCCAGCCAUGCCGCGUGUGUGAAGAAGGUCUUCGGAUUGUAAAGCACUUUAAGUUGGGAGGAAGGGCAGUAAGUUAAUACCUUGCUGUUUUGACGUUACCGACAGAAUAAGCACCGGCUAACUUCGUGCCAGCCGCCGCGGUAACAC